AUUGUUGUAUUUUGUUCACAGGCACAGCUUCUGUGUCUAAGAGGACCAAAUCUGGGUUCAAAUCUGUGGUAAGCAAUACCCCUGAAGCUGGGAAAGAGGAGCUGCCCACAGACCCUCAGGUCUCCUCUCCGCAUGCGAACUCUGGGAUACCAAGUAUGUGUGGCUAUAAUAUAACUCAGGCUCUCAGGAUACCAUGAGUGAUGUGGGGAAGAGCUCCUCUUCCAUUCCAUCCAUCCCUGUUGGUUCUGAAGAGCAGAUAGGGAUACAUGUCUGUGACGCAGGCUCAGAUGUGGGGGAAAUGCAGGAAGAUGAGGAGACACUCUCCUCGCCUAAAGUAGCCUACACAGGACCAAGCGUUUCAGGCUUUUCUCAUCCAAGCGCCACAAUAAAGUGGUCCCAGCCUGUCUCCCCAGUUCUUUACAGAAGACCAAG